GACGAACGCUGGCGGCGUGCCUAAUACAUGCAAGUAGAACGCACAGUUUAUACCGUAGCUUGCUACACCAUAGACUGUGAGUUGCGAACGGGUGAGUAACGCGUAGGUAACCUGCCUGGUAGCGGGGGAUAACUAUUGGAAACGAUAGCUAAUACCGCAUAAUAUUGAUUAUUGCAUGAUAAUUGAUUGAAAGAUGCUAUUGCAUCACUACCAGAUGGACCUGCGUUGUAUUAGCUAGUAGGUGAGGUAACGGCUCACCUAGGCGACGAUACAUAGCCGACCUGGGGGGGUGAUCGGCCACACUGGGACUGGGACACGGCCCAGGCUCCUACGGGGGGCAGCAGUAGGGAAUCUUCGGCAAUGGACGGAAGUCUGACCGAGCAACGCCGCGUGAGUGAAGAAGGUUUUCGGAUCGUAAAGCUCUGUUGUAAGAGAAGAACGGGUGUGAGAGUGGAAAGUUCACACUGUGACGGUAUCUUACCAGAAAGGGACGGCUAACUACGUG
rnacentral:rRNA from 1 species